rnacentral:rRNA from 1 species
GUGAGGAAUAUUGGUCAAUGGGCGAGAGCCUGAACCAGCCAAAUCGCGUGAAGGAUGAAGGUAUUAUGUAUUGUAAACUUCUUUUAUCGGGGAAUAAAGUGCGGGACGUGUCCCGUUUUGUAUGUACCCGAAGAAUAAGGAUCGGCUAACUCCGUGCCAGCAGCCGCGGUAAUACGGAGGAUCCAAGCGUUAUCCGGAUUUAUUGGGUUUAAAGGGUGCGUAGGCGGACUGUCAAGUCAGCGGUGAAAGUCCAUGGCUCAACCAUGGAAUUGCCGUUGAAACUGUCGGUCUUGAGUGUAGAUGAGGUAGGCGGAAUUCGUAGUGUAGCGGUGAAAUGCUUAGAUAUUACGAAGAACUCCAAUUGCGUAGGCAGCUUACCAGGCUACAACUGACGCUGAGGCACGAAGGUGAGGGGAUCAAACAGGAUUAGAAACCCCGGUAGUCC